rnacentral:lncRNA from 1 species
AGCCUAAGCUUCCAACCCCAUCAGGAACUGUUUCUGGGCCUCCCAGGCCACGUGGCCGCCCUCCCAAACCAAGGGAUCCUUUCGCGCCUGUGGCUUCCCCUAAGAAGAAGACGACAAGUACUGGAACUGGGAGGCCGCGUGGUCGUCCACCUAAGAACGCUAGUACGGCGGUUCCCGCUGCGAGUUCAGCUGGUGCUCCACCCAGCGGUGCGCGGAGAGGAAGGGGGAGGCCGCCUAAGGCGAAGCCAGC